ACCCUAAACCCUACCUAACCCUAAACCCUACCUAACCCUAAACCCUUUCUAACCCUAAACCCUACCUAAACCUAACCCAAAAACCCUAUCUAAACCUAACCAUAAAUCCCAUCUAACGCUAAAAUUCUACCAACCCUAAAUACUAAAAAAUAAUCUCAAAACUUAAAGCUAAAAAAACCUAAAUUAUACCGCUAUGUAAUUUGGUUGUUGUGAUAUUCAACUAACAAAUUAUAUUGUGAAUUUUAAAUCUUACAUCCAUUAUUUUAAUUGCCAAAAUAUUUUGAAAGUCACAUCUUAUGAAUAAAAAAGGUAAAUUAUAUUUUAAUAACGUUAAAUUUUGUUAAAAUAGAAUGAAAAACAAUUAUCACAAAUAAUUUGUCUAAACCCUAAACCCUACUAACUCUAAACCCUACUAACCCUAAACCCUACUAACCCUAAACCCUACCUAACCCUAAACCCUACCUAACCCUAAACCCUACUAACCCUAAAGCCUACCUAACCCUAAACCGUACCAACCCUAAACCCUACCUAACCCCAAACUCUACCUAACCCUAAACCCUACCUACCCUAAAAUCCUACCUAACCCUAAACCCUUCCUAACCCUAAACCCUACCUAACCCUAAACCCUGCUAACCCUAAACCCUGCCUAAACAUAAAUCCUAUCUAACGCUAAAACUCUACCAACCCUAAACACGAAAAAAUAAUCUCAAAACUUAAAGCUAAAAAAACCUAAACUCUACCGCUAUGUAAUUUGUUGUUGUGAUAUUCA
rnacentral:lncRNA from 1 species